rnacentral:rRNA from 1 species
UACGUAGGGGGCAAGCGUUGUCCGGAAUCAUUGGGCGUAAAGCGCGUGUAGGCGGCUCGGUAAGUCUGCUGUGAAAGCCCAGGGCUCAACCCUGGGAUGCCGGUGGAUACUGUCGAGCUCGAGUCCGGAAGAGGCGAGUGGAAUUCCUGGUGUAGCGGUGAAAUGCGUAGAUAUCUGGAGGAACACCGGUGGCGAAGGCGGCAUCCUGGACCGACACUGACGCUGAGGAGCGAAAGCCAGGGGAGCAAACGGG